GACCCAGCGGAUGCUCCGCCCGGCACCGUCCGCGGAGAUUUCUGCAUCGAGGUUGGCAAGAAUGUGAUUCACGGCAGCGACUCCGUGGAGAGUGCCCGCCGAGAGAUCGCGCUCUGGUUCAGCCCCAACGAGCUGCUCUGCUGGGAGGACAGCGCCGAGCGCUGGCUGUAUGAGUAACGGCGGGACCCGAGCUGAGCACCCCGGGCUGCAAUAGGUGUGGGUGACUUCGCACCCUCCAGGCCCCUGCGGUGGGGCCCAGGACACCCUGUGGCAGGGUGGACAGCACCCUUCGGACCUCCAAGAGGACAGGUGGGUCUGCCCCAGACAUUGACGGCACUGUGUAGUGCGCCUGGAAAUGCACCAGAGCGGAGAAGGCCUGGCGCUCAGCUCGGUCCAGCGUGUGUGUUUUUUAUAAUAAACUGAAGAAAACC